ACUACGGGAGGCAGCAGUGAGGAAUAUUGGUCAAUGGCCGGAAGGCUGAACCAGCCAUGCCGCGUGAAGGUCAGUGCCCUAUGGGCGUUAAACUUCUUUUGUGCGGGAGCAAUACCGGUCACGUGUGGCCAGACGAGAGUACCGUACGAAUAAGCAUCGGCUAACUCCGUGCCAGCAGCCGCGGUAAUACGGGGGAUGCAAGCGUUAUUCGGAUUUAUUGGGUUUAAAGGGUGCGUAGGCUGUGAGGAAAGUGAGCGGUGAAAUGCACCCGAUCAACGGGGUGAAGUGCCAUUAAUACUGCCUUGCUGGAAUGCGGAUGCCGUGGGAGGAAUGUGUGGUGUAGCGGUGAAAUGCAUAGAUAUCACACAGAACACCGAUUGCGAAGGCAUCUCACGAAUCCGCGAUUGACGCUGAUGCACGAAAGCGUGGGGAUCAAACAGGAUUAGAUACCCGAGUAGUC
rnacentral:rRNA from 1 species